rnacentral:lncRNA from 1 species
GAGGAACAAGCCCUUAUUCUUUCUUUUGGUCCCAAAACGGUAUUUUUAGUAUACGAGAACAGUAGUUCUCCCAUCUCUGAAAUAAUAAGCUGGUAUAACCUAAUAUAAUCUUAAAAUAGGUGUUCCACCCUUCCUCCUGGAAAAAACUUGUUCCCAAAUGAAAACAAGGUUAAUUAAAAUCUAAUUUGAUUUUAUGUUAUUAAAUUAUUAAUUAAUCUAAUUAAUGUAUUUAAUUCAUUACCUAUUGCUUAAAUAGUAAAAUAAUUAAUUAAUUUAUUAUUUAUAAUUAAUUAAUUAAAAUUAAUGAUGUUAUUAUAAUAAAUUAAUUUAUUUUUAUUAAAUAAUUAAAUAAUUAAUUUAUUAUAAUAUUUAUAGCUAAUAAAUUUAUUAAUUUAUUGAAUUAUUUUUAAUUAAUAUUUUGCUGUUAAUUAAUUAGAUAAAUUAUUUUUAAUUUAAAUUUAUUACUCUCAUUCCCCUGCUCCAAUCUAACAAUCUAAAUACUAUUUAACCUAUUUUCAAAAAUAAUUUAAUUUUCAUUCAAACGUAAAAUUUAUAUAAUUUAUGUUUAUACUCCAAUUUCUAUUUUUGAAAUAAGUAAUGUUUACUCAUACCUGAAUCAAGGUAACUAAUUGGUUGCUUGUGGGAAAGGUUGAUUCACACGCGGUACCGUCAGUCCCUAACAAAUGGGUGCUUAAAGGGCUUAGCACCAAAAUUCAAUUCUGUACCGGUACCUACGUAAAUGGGUGUUUAAAAAUAAUUUAUUGAACCGACCGUCCAUAAAGCAAGUGGCAAAAGGCUUGGUGGUUGAUAUCCGGGACCCAAGUUCGAAUCCCAGUUGAUUCACAUUUUCAGCUAAGUUUAUUUCUAAAUGAAAUAAACGAAGCGGGUAGCGUGCUAUCUAUCUCUCUCAAAAAAAAAAAAAAGAGUUUAUUGACACCAACCGUCUCUAGAGUAAGUGGUAAUAGACUUGGUGAUUGGUAUCCGAGAUCCCAAGUUCGAAUCCUUUACACCUGGUUUGGAUUGGGUACAAUAUGGGGUAUAAGGGCUUUAUACCCCAUCUUGUACCCAAACGCUGUUGUGUGAAGGUGGGAACUAUAGUUCCCACCCCGGGUGGAAACAAGCUUUUCCCAAACUUGUUGCCACCCCCUGGGUAUAGAGAGAGAGAGAGAGAGAGAGAGUGUGUGUUUUGUUUUAAAAUAGAAUUUAAAUUUUUAGAAUUUAAAAUUUUUAAUUUUAAAAUUAAAAUUGUAAAUUGUAAAUUCUAAAUUUUAAAGUUUAAAAUUUAAAUUUGAUAUUAUAAAUUUUUAAAUUUUAAAUUUGAUAUUUUAUAUAUUUCAAAUUUAAAUUUGGUCUUAAAUUUAAAAUUUAAAAUUUAUAAUUUUGAAUAUUUAAAUUUUAAAUUUUAAUUUCAAAUUUUAAAAUUUAAAAGUUAAAAUUUUUAAUUUAAAAUUAUAAGUUUAUGUAAUAUACCGAAAAUUCGGAAAAUAAAUAUCGAACUUUAGUCAAAUUGACCAAAGUGCGAGAAUGGUAUACUUCAGAAAGUUCGAAGGUGUUAAAAUGAUCAAAAGUGCAUUAUGGGAGGUUUUCGAGAGCUAAAGAAUCAAAAAUCUGCAAACUGCAGUUUUUGAGCUCUCAGGGACCGGUCCAUGGUGGGAGAGACCGGUCCCCGAACGCGUGAGAAAUGAGAAAAGCUGAAAAUCGGCUAAGUCCCAGAAAACCAGCUCUCGAGAACCGGUCCCUGCGGGGAGAGACCGGUCCCCGAGAGACCGGUCCCCCAGUGAGAGACCGGUUGCAUCGCGCGUGCGCCCUGCUGCCCGCGGGGAGAGCUCUCUGGGACCGGUCCCAAGUCGGG